rnacentral:rRNA from 1 species
ACGAACGCUGGCGGCGUGCUUAACACAUGCAAGUCGAGCGGUAAGGCCCUUCGGGUACACGAGCGGCGAACGGGUGAGUAACACGUGGGUGAUCUGCCCUGUACUUCGGGAUAAGCCUGGGAAACUGGGUCUAAUACCGGAUAUGACCUUACAUCGCAUGGUGUUUGGUGGAAAGAUUUAUCGGUACAGGAUGGCCCGCGGCCUAUCAGCUUGUUGGUGGGGUAAUGGCCUACCAAGGCGACGACGGGUAGCCGGCCUGAGAGGGCGACCGGCCACACUGGGACUGAGACACGGCCCAGACUCCUACGGGAGGCAGCAGUGGGGAAUAUUGCACAAUGGGCGAAAGCCUGAUGCAGCGACGCCGCGUGAGGGAUGACGGCCUUCGGGUUGUAAACCUCUUUCGACAGGGACGAAGCGCAAGUGACGGUACCUGUAGAAGAAGCACCGGCCAACUACGUGCCAGCAGCCGCGGUAAUACGUAGGGUGCGAGCGUUGUCCGGAAUUACUGGGCGUAAAGAGCUUGUAGGCGGUUUGUCGCGUCGUCCGUGAAAACUUGGGGCUCAACCCCAAGCUUGCGGGCGAUACGGGCAGACUUGAGUACUGCAGGGGAGACUGGAAUUCCUGGUGUAGCGGUGAAAUGCGCAGAUAUCAGGAGGAACACCGGUGGCGAAGGCGGGUCUCUGGGCAGUAACUGACGCUGAGAAGCGAAAGCGUGGGUAGCGAACAGGAUUAGAUACCCUGGUAGUCCACGCCGUAAACGGUGGGCGCUAGGUGUGGGUUUCCUUCCACGGGAUCCGUGCCGUAGCUAACGCAUUAAGCGNCCCGCCUGGGGAGUACGGCCGCAAGGCUAAAACUCAAAGGAAUUGACGGGGGCCNGCACAAGCGGCGGAGCAUGUGGAUUAAUUCGAUGCAACGCGAAGAACCUUACCUGGGUUUGACAUACACCGGAAACCUGCAGAGAUGUAGGCCCCCUUGUGGUCGGUGUACAGGUGGUGCAUGGCUGUCGUCAGCUCGUGUCGUGAGAUGUUGGGUUAAGUCCCGCAACGAGCGCAACCCUUGUCCUGUGUUGCCAGCGCGUUAUGGCGGGGACUCGCAGGAGACUGCCGGGGUCAACUCGGAGGAAGGUGGGGACGACGUCAAGUCAUCAUGCCCCUUAUGUCCAGGGCUUCACACAUGCUACAAUGGCCGGUACAGAGGGCUGCGAUACCGUGAGGUGGAGCGAAUCCCUUAAAGCCGGUCUCAGUUCGGAUCGGGGUCUGCAACUCGACCCCGUGAAGUUGGAGUCGCUAGUAAUCGCAGAUCAGCAACGCUGCGGUGAAUACGUUCCCGGGCCUUGUACACACCGCCCGUCACGUCAUGAAAGUCGGUAACACCCGAAGCCGGUGGCCUAACCC